rnacentral:rRNA from 1 species
UACGGGGGGGGCAAGCGUUGUUCGGAAUUACUGGGCGUAAAGCGCGCGUAGGCGGACCUGCAAGUCGGGGGUGAAAGCCCGAGGCUCAACCUCGGAACUGCCUUCGAUACUGCGGGUCUCGAGUCCGGGAGAGGUGAGUGGAAUUCCUAGUGUAGAGGUGAAAUUCGUAGACAUUCGCAAGAACACCAGUGGCGAAGGCGGCUCACUGGCCCGAUACCGACGCUGAGGCACGAAAGCGUGGGGAGCAAACAGG